UCUGGUGACUUGAGCGGCGGUGAACUACCCGAUCCCAUUCCGAACUCGGUCGUAAAAGCCGUCAGCGCUGAUGGUACUGUCGCUUAGGCGACGGGAGAGUAAGUCGUCGCCGGAA
rnacentral:rRNA from 1 species